rnacentral:snRNA from 1 species
AUACUUACCUGGCAGGGGAGAUACCAUGAUCACGAAGGUGGUUUUCUCAGGGUGAGGCUUAUCCAUUGCACUCCGGAUGUGCUGACCCUUGUGAUUUCCCCAAAUGUGGGAAACUCGACUGCAUAAUUUGUGGUAGUGGGGGACUGCGUUCGCACUCUCCCCUA